UCCGCUUCCAGAUUUGGCCGUUGGAAGCGCGGUCUGCGCAGCAUUCAAAGCAUCCAACCCAACAAAUCGUAUACCAAAGGAAAAAAAAGAAGCCCUUUAUCUGAUUCUUCCCCUUUUUAUAUUCCAUUCAUCGCUCUCCCUCUCUCUCUGAUGCUUUAUUCUCUGCUACGUGCUCUGCUUUUUAUCCCCUCUUUCUCUAGAAAGGCCUGCAAGAAUUGAUAAGGAGAAGUCUAAGGGAACGACGAGGAGAUAGGAAGAGGGGAGGGGUGGGUUCUCUGGAAGAAUUGAUGCCGAAGGGUCCUCUGGAAGCGAAU
rnacentral:lncRNA from 1 species